rnacentral:tRNA from 18 species
GUGGUUGUAGCUCAGUUGGUAGAGCCCCGGAUUGUGAUUCCGGUUGUCGUGGGUUCGAACCCCAUCAUCCACCCCA